AUUGAACGCUGGCGGCAUGCCUUACACAUGCAAGUCGAACGGCAGCACGGGAGCUUGCUCCUGGUGGCGAGUGGCGAACGGGUGAGUAAUACAUCGGAACGUACCCUGAAGUGGGGGAUAACGUAGCGAAAGUUACGCUAAUACCGCAUAUUCUGUGAGCAGGAAAGAGGGGGAUCGCAAGACCUCUUGCUUUAGGAGCGGCCGAUGUCGGAUUAGCUAGUUGGUGAGGUAAAGGCUCACCAAGGCGACGAUCCGUAGCGGGUCUGAGAGGAUGAUCCGCCACACUGGGACUGAGACACGGCCCAGACUCCUACGGGAGGCAGCAGUGGGGAAUUUUGGACAAUGGGCGCAAGCCUGAUCCAGCCAUGCCGCGUGAGUGAAGAAGGCCUCGGGUUGUAAGCUCUUCGUGGGAGAAU
rnacentral:rRNA from 1 species